rnacentral:rRNA from 1 species
CACACCGCCCGUCACACCAUGGGAGUCAGUUGCUCUAGAAGUCGGUGCACCAACCUCGUGAGGUAGCCGCCUAAAGAGGUGACUGGUAACUGGGGUG